GCCGGGGUGGUGGAAUUGGCAGACACGUACGUUUGAGGGGCGUAUGGGUAACUCCGUGCGGGUUCAAGUCCCGCCCCCGGCA
rnacentral:tRNA from 3 species